GUUAUUGAAAAGCGAGCGCAAGGCAAGAAAGACGAAGCGAAGGCGCCGCUGCUGCUGCGAAUGUCGCGCACGCUGUCGUCAUCGCGGCAAAAAAAAAAAAAAACAGAAAAUAGAAGAAAAGAAAAGAGGGAGCAGCUAGCUAGCAAAAAGCAAAAAAAAAAAAUAGAAAUCCCUUUACUAUAUUUGCACUCAAUACUCAUUGUUUGCCAUUUCGCGCACACACACACUCAUUUAUCUCUGUGUGUGUGUUUCUCCAUCUCGUGACUCGGCAUUGUUGAGUAUAUUGACUCCUGGUCACACACAAAUUAAUUUUUGUCGUCCCCGCUGUCGCCUGUGUUGCUGUUGAAAAUCAACUAAUAAUUGCUACAGAGUGUGAUGACAACCUAAGGAAGUGCGGGUGGCCUCCCUAUAAAUGUAUAUGUAUGCGUGUAUGUGUGAGUGACCUCGUGUCUGUGUGUCGCGUGCUUGUGCCUGUGUAUGUGUGUGUCGGCAGCGGCAAGGAGUGUCAUGCGUAUUUGCUGCUUCUUCCCCACACACAUAUAUAUAUACUCCCCCUAAACCACUCCCCAAACCGCUUUGGCAUCAUACACAACAACAACAGCCAGAAGAACGCUGCUCCUUUGCUCCAACGAGUUUUAUCUUGUUUUCCGUAUUAAUCAUAUGCGGGCGCAGAGAGGCAAUCACGUCAUCCAGCUUGACACGCACACACACACACUCAGCCAUACACUAUAAAGUCAUUUGUGUGAAGUUUAGAGCUGAGAGCGAAGCCGCAAUGGCAGCCAAGUUUAGAACCGAUAUCUGCCUUUGUGUGUGUAGGCGGCGCGUGAAUUCAAUCGUUAUUUUUUCCAUUUCAUUUAAAGCUUAAUCAAUUUAAUUAACUAUCUACAAACAUACAUAAACACAUAUGCAUAGCCAUUAUAAUUGGCAUUUAUUAAUCAUAUUAAUAUUGUUAUAGUUCAAGUUAGAUAUUUUUGAAAGCUGCGACAGCAGCAUCGCAUCAUCAUCAACAUCAUCGGCGACUACGUCAAUUUUGUUUUUGUUCUCGUUUUCGCAUGCGUGUGUGUGCUUGUGUGAGUUCAGUAAAUAAACGAUGACCGGGGCACUGAGUCAUGAUGUCGACUUGAUGACGUUAUGCUGCGCUAAAAGGCAAUUUGUCUUGGGAAAGUGCUCCGAACUUUGCCAAUAAAACUGGCCAAAAAACUUUAUCAAAAUUAUAUGUUUCUUCUCACACACAUAACACACAAACAAUUGUACUCAAAAUCAGCUUAGAUCGAUUUCGAGCUAACAAACGAUAACAUUUGUUGCCGUCACACAUAUUUAUCGUAGAUCGAUAACGAUUUCUCUUCCCAAAAUUGAUCAUUUUUCUUGCCAUCACUGAUGCGCGCUGUGUAUCGAGCAGCUCAUCAGCUGAUAUUUUUCAAAUUGCUGCCAACAAUUAGGAAAUAAAUAAAAAUUAUAUUACAUGACGCGUCGUCCGUGGUAUGAAGGCGAGAGCGCGCCUUUUGUUUUUCAACGCAACGAAAUUAGCUUAGCAGCCAGACAGCCAGCAGCGACAGCUACCCAGCUAAAAAUCAUGUCGAAACCGCUUUUAGGCAGAUCAUCAGUAUCGUCUCCCCUACUCUCUCUCUCUCUCUACACGAUGUUAUGUUCCGUUCCUGCGGCAGCUUUUUGCCCAUUGGCCGCCGUUGCCGAUACGUGAACGAUUCACGUUGUUGUCGCUAACGUUGUCGAGUCUCGUAUAUUUGUAUUAAAAUACUGCAAUGAGCUCUUUAUCUUAAUGCGAUAUACUAUAAAUGUAUGUGUGUGUAUGUAUACACAUUUGUUUGAGUGUAGGAUAUGUGCGUAUGAUUUUUGAUGGGACGAAUGUCGUCGCAUUCACGUCCGCGGCGGGGUAAACAAACUCCCGCUGUUGCUUUGCGGCUGCUGCUGAUAACGUUGCUUUUGCUGCUGCUGCUGUCAUCCGCCUCAAAAAAAAAAAUGAAAUAAAAUAAAGCAACAGCAAAAACAAUGAGCUAAUAACAAAUCCGUACGACUUUUAUCAGUCAGCCAUGACGACGUCGACGUCGCUGUCGACCGAUGGCCGAGUGAGCAUUUUGUUGCCGCUGCUGCUGCUCUGCGGCGCUGUAUGCUCUUUUUUUGCCUACUCGCUCGGUUGCUGAGCAGUUGCUAGUUCAGUCUGCUCGCUGAAUUCGUUGCGUUACGUUUACGUUUACGUUGCUUUCCGUUCCGUCGUUGUUGUGUUCCGUGUCCGUUGCUUUUUUGCCAUUUCUCGGUUUGUCGGUGUUUUGUCGUUUGUAGUUGUAGCAGUGUUGCCUUAGUACUCAUUAACUAUUUGGCCAGUGUCAUAAAGUUCUCAACCGAAAAAACUGAAAUUCGAACGUGAACAACUAAAGACAAAUUGCCAACGAAAGAAAAGAAAAAUCCAAUAA